rnacentral:rRNA from 1 species
GCCAGACUCCUACGGGAGGCAGCAGUGGGGGAUAUUGCACAAUGGGGGGAACCCUGAUGCAGCGACGCCGCGUGGGUGAAGAGGUAUUUCGGUAUGUAAAGCUCUAUCAGCAGGGAAGAAGAAAGACGGUACCUGAGUAAGAAGCCCCGGCUAACUACGUGCCAGCAGCCGCGGUAAUACGUAGGGGGCAAGCGUUAUCCGGAUUUACUGGGUGUAAAGGGAGCGUAGACGGCAGUGCAAGUCCGGAGUGAAAGCCCGGGGCUCAACCCUGGGACUGCUCUGGAAACUGUAAAGCUGGAGUGCGGGAGGGGCAGGCGGAAUUCCUGGUGUAGCGGUGAAAUGCGUAGAUAUCAGGAGGAACACCGGCGGCGAAGGCGGCCUGCUGGACCGUAACUGACGUUGAGGCUCGAAAGCGUGGGGAGCAAACAGGAUUAGAUACCCGUGUA